rnacentral:rRNA from 1 species
CUAUACUGUGAAACUGCGAAUGGCUCAUUAAAUCAGUUAUCGUUUAUUUGAUAGUACCUUACUACUUGGAUAACCGUGGUAAUUCUAGAGCUAAUACAUGCUAAAAACCUCGACUUCGGAAGGGGUGUAUUUAUUAGAUAAAAAACCAAUGCCCUUCGGGGCUCCUUGGUGAAUCAUGAUAACUUAACGAAUCGCAUGGCCUUGCGCCGGCGAUGGUUCAUUCAAAUUUCUGCCCUAUCAACUUUCGAUGGUAGCAUAGUGGGCUACCAUGGUAUCAACGGGUAACGGGGAAUUAGGGUUCUAUUCCGGAGAGGGAGCCUGAGAAACGGCUACCACAUCCAAGGAAGGCAGCAGGCGCGCAAAUUACCCAAUCCCGACACGGGGAGGUAGUGACAAUAAAUACUGAUACAGGGCUCUUUUGGGUCUUGUAAUUGGAAUGAGUACAAUUUAAAUACCUUAACGAGGAACAAUUGGAGGGCAAGUCUGGUGCCAGCAGCCGCGGUAAUUCCAGCUCCAAUAGCGUAUAUUAAAGUUGUUGCAGUUAAAAAGCUCGUAGUUGAACCUUGGGCCUGGCUGGCCGGUCUGCCUCACCGCAUGUACUGGUUCGGCCGGGCCUUUCCUCCUGGGGAUCCGCAUGCCCUUCACUGGGCGUGUUGGGGAACCAGGACUUUUACUUUGAAAAAAUUAGAGUGUUCAAAGCAGGCCUUUGCUCGAAUACAUUAGCAUGGAAUAAUAGAAUAGGACGUGCGGUCCUAUUUUGUUGGUUUCUAGGACCGCCGUAAUGAUUAAUAGGGAUAGUCGGGGGCAUCAGUAUUCAGUUGUCAGAGGUGAAAUUCUUGGAUUUACUGAAGACUAACUACUGCGAAAGCAUUUGCCAAGGAUGUUUUCAUUAAUCAGUGAACGAAAGUUAGGGGAUCGAAGACGAUCAGAUACCGUCGUAGUCU